AGAGUUUGAUCCUGGCUCAGGACGAACGCUGGCGGCGUGCUUAACACAUGCAAGUCGAACGAAAAGACGGAAAGAGCUUGCUCUUUUCAGAAUUGAGUGGCAAACGGGUGAGUAACACGUAAACAACCUGCCUUCAGGAUGGGGACAACAGACGGAAACGACUGCUAAUACCGAAUAAGUUCCAAGGGCCGCAUGGCCCAUGGAAGAAAAGGUGGCCUCUACCUGUAAGCUAUCGCCUGAAGAGGGGUUUGCGUCUGAUUAGCUGGUUGGAGGGGUAACGGCCCACCAAGGCGACGAUCAGUAGCCGGUCUGAGAGGAUGAACGGCCACACUGGAACUGAGACACGGUCCAGACUCCUACGGGAGGCAGCAGUGGGGAAUCUUCCGCAAUGGGCGAAAGCCUGACGGAGCAACGCCGCGUGAGUGAUGACGGCCUUCGGGUUGUAAAACUCUGUGAUCCGGGACGAAAAGGCAGAGUGCGAAGAACAAACUGCAUUGACGGUACCGGAAAAGCAAGCCACGGCUAACUACGUGCCAGCAGCCGCGGUAAUACGUAGGUGGCAAGCGUUGUCCGGAAUUAUUGGGCGUAAAGCGCGCGCAGGCGGCUUCCCAAGUCCCUCUUAAAAGUGCGGGGCUUAACCCCGUGAUGGGAAGGAAACUGGGAAGCUGGAGUAUCGGAGAGGAAAGUGGAAUUCCUAGUGUAGCGGUGAAAUGCGUAGAGAUUAGGAAGAACACCGGUGGCGAAGGCGACUUUCUGGACGAAAACUGACGCUGAGGCGCGAAAGCGUGGGGAGCAAACAGGAUUAGAUACCCUGGUAGUCCACGCCGUAAACG
rnacentral:rRNA from 1 species